rnacentral:lncRNA from 1 species
GUACAUAGGCUUAAACUGACGUUUUUCUGUGUCCCAAGCAAAUACACUGAUUAUGGGCUUUUCUCUCUCCCACGGGAACAUGACUGACACCACAUCUUUCUGAUACAUUAAUGUUUUGAUUCAGUUACCCCGGAGAGCAGCAAAAAAAAAAAAUUGCUUUUAGUCCUUACCUUGAUGGUACUUGAUGGAUAGCUGUAGGUCUCUGCUGAGGAGAGAGGAAGAAAACACGUGAUUGUCAUGCUUUGGUGCAGCGACAUGAGACAAGGAUUUUCGGCAGCACAGGACUUAGCUACAGACGGAGCACAGGCUGUGCAAAAGCAUGAGCUCACGUGGCAUUAGCUGGGGAAAGAGCUGAAUCUCUGAGGGCUAAAUAAAUCCGGUGAUUUAUCUUCUCUCUAGUUCAACACACACUUGUGUCAUGCAGUAGUGCUCAACGACCUCAAGAAAACCUAGAUUUGCAGCCUUAUUGGGGGAAAAAUGUAGCAGCCUGAAUCGAAACCAGGACCUCCUGAUUCACAUGAACACAUGUGAUCCUGGCUAUCAUCUACAAGGAAGAAAUAAAAUAGAAGAACCAGAAAUACUAUUUGCAGGGUCGGUGGUCUGGGGAAUGAGCAAGUUUUUGUUCACACAUUCUAAUUGUGGUACAUUGCUGGAAAAGAAAAACAAAUCUCUGUAAGACUUUAGGUGUCUGCAACAAUUUCAUCAAAACUCAGAGGUAAGAAGGGUUGGGCACUUAACAGGACAGUUUGACAGCAUGUGCUGUCCCCUGGGAACAUGUCGUUUUGCAGAUAGAUGUAUACCACCACAAGCUAGGUCUCAGCUUAUUAGCCACCUCCUUUUCUUCUC